UACGUAGGGUGCAAGCGUUUGUCCGGAAUUAUUGGGCGAAAGAGCUCGUAGGCGGUCUGUCGCGCUCUGUGAAAAUCAGGGCUCAACCCCUGGACCUGCAGUGGGUACGGGCAGACUAGAGUGCGGUAGGGGGAGAUCGGAAUUCCUGGUGUAGCGGUGAAAUGCGCAGAUAUCAGGAGGAACACCGGUGGCGAAGGCGGAUCUCUGGGCCUAACUGACGCUGAGGAGCGAAAGCAUGGGGGAGCGAA
rnacentral:rRNA from 1 species